GAAUUUAAUAUAGUUUUAUUUAUAUAAAUAUUUGUUGAAGUAUUAUAAGUAAAUAUAAUUUAAUUGGGAGGAUUAUUAAAUUUGGGUAACUUUAAUUAAAAUAGACUAUAAAUUAAUAUUGAUAAAUAUUUUUGAAUGAUUGAUUAAUUAAUGAAAAAUUAAUUACCUUAGGGAUAACAGCGUAAUAUUUUUAUAGAGAUCUUAUUGAUAAAAAUGAUUGC
rnacentral:rRNA from 1 species